AAAGUGGUACGCGAGCUGGGUUUAGAACGUCGUGAGACAGUUCGGUCCCUAUCUGCCGUGGGCGUUGGAAACUUGAGAGGAGCUGCUCCUAGUACGAGAGGACCGGAGUGGACGCACCACUGGUGUUUGGGUUGUCAUGCCAAUGGCAUUGCCCAGUAGCUACGUGCGGAACCGAUAACCGCUGAAAGCAUCUAAGCGGGAAGCGGGCCUCAAGAUGAGGUUUCCCUAGUCUCUUGAAGACUCUAAAGGGCCGUUGAAGACUACAACGUUGAUAGGCAGGGUGUGGACGUUCAGUAAUGGAUGAAGCUAACCUGUACUAAUUGCCCGUGCGGCUUAACCAU
rnacentral:rRNA from 1 species